rnacentral:rRNA from 1 species
UACGUAGGGGGCAAGCGUUGUCCGGAAUCAUUGGGCGUAAAGGGCGCGUAGGCGGGUAAUUAAGUCUGGUGUGAAAGGCAGGGGCUCAACCCCUGGAUUGCACCGGAAACUGGUUAUCUUGAGGACAGGAGAGGAAAGCGGAAUUCCACGUGUAGCGGUGAAAUGCGUAGAUAUGUGGAGGAACACCAGUGGCGAAGGCGGCUUUCUGGACUGUAACUGACGCUGAGGCGCGAAAGCGUGGGGAGCAAACAGG